rnacentral:tRNA from 1 species
GGGUCCAUGGGCUAGCUUGGUCUAUACUUGGGCGUUCGGGACGCUCAGACCCCGGUUCAAAUCCGGGUGGACCCA